rnacentral:lncRNA from 1 species
AUGGGAGAGGAAGAAGCAGGCUCCCAGCAGAGAAGCCUGAUAUGGGGCUCGAUCCCAGAACGUCAGGAUCACGCCCUGAGCGGAAGGCAGACGCUUAAUGACUGCGCCAUCCAGGCGCCCCUGCAUGGUUUUUUUCUAAUAUUGUCCUCACUGAAAGAAGCUCAGACCAAAGAACAGAAAAGAAGUUUAAUAAGUGGUUCCUAUGGAGAAACUGAUGCUUGAUCUACCCAGUUACCUCUGUGUUCAGUUACUGAUGGUCUGUUGCAACUUGACAGAACCGAGAAGGGGUGACAUGCCAAGCAGCCAUGUAGGAGCCCGUGUGGAAGAGGACAAAACCCCAAUCUGCUCAUGAGUCUGAGCCACUCCCUCAAGACGAAGGUCAGAAACAAAGCAGGUACUGGACACAGUGGCCAGUUUCAGGUGCUUUGUGGACAUAUCUAAAACGAGUUAAUUGAGAAGAAACUUCACAUGAUAUUUUCCCCAGUGAGAACAUCCUGAAUUUUUGCUUUUUUUUUUUUUUUUUUUUUUUUUUUUUUAAAGAUUUUUUAUUUAUUUAUUUAACAGAGAGAGAGACAGCCAGAGAGAGAGGGAACACAAGCAGGGGGAGUGGGAGAGGAAGAAGCAGGCUCAUAGCGGAAGAGCCUGACGUGGGGCUCGAUCCCAGAACUCCGGGAUCACGCCCUGAGCCAAAGGCAGACGCUUAACCGCUGUGCCACCCAGGCGCCCCUGAAUUUUAGCUUCUUAAGCUGUUAAGAAGUUAAUGGAUUUUGGGAAUUUUUAUUGUUAAAUAUUCCAGAUAGCUAAUCUCUAAUCAUCAGAUGUCAUAGAAUCUGGUAAAAUUUAUUUGAAUUUUACAACUUAAAAUGCUAACUUUUAAAAAAUAGAACAUAUUGUGUGAUAUAUAAGGCAUAAGUAUUCAAUGUGGUGAAACUUGUUUAAAUUUCUAUUUUCAGAUUUGGGAGGCUACAAUCAAGGUCAUUUGAGAAGUGGGACCCAGUGCAUUACCAUUACCUGCGGGUGUCCACAAAGAAAUUUACCGACGUGGGAAAGGCUAGAUAAUGAGAAUGCUCCAUAAGGAGGCACUGAAUUUCACCAGGGAGAAAUGCAUCUAAGUUGCUUCACAAACGUUAAGAAAUAUAUCUACGUAAUUGUAUGUUGCAUUUUCCGUGGUCUUUGCUUUGUUCAUUUCAUGUGCAGUGAUUAAAAAGAGAUAUUGUACAUUUUAUUAUCUCUUAUGUUUUCCAAUAAAUACAAACCUGGAGUGCUUUUUUUUUUCUUUUUCAUUCUUCUCAGAGGUGUGGUGAACACUGAAUAAGAUAAUAAUUUUGAAAUACUAAUGUCUUGUCCGUUUGGGCAGCUGUAACAAAAUACCACAGACUGAGUGGCUUAUGGAUAAUAGAAAUUUAUUUCUCAGAGUUCUAGAGGCCAGAAGUCUGAAAUCAGGGCUGGCAUGUCAGGUGAGAGCUCUCUUUCGGGUUACAGAUUUCUUGUAUCCUCAGGAGCCCUUUUUAUAAUCACCUUCCAAAGGCCCCACCUCCUAAUACCAUCACUUUUAGGGGUAAGAAUUUGACGUAUGAAUUUUGGGAGGACACACUCUGUGAGA